UUUUUCUGUGUUCAGUUUCACGCAAACGC
rnacentral:sRNA from 1 species